AGGACAACGCUGGCGGCGUGCUUAGCACAUGCAAGUUGAACGGGAUUCGCUCUAUGAAGUGUUAUAGCGAAUUAGAGCGAUGAGAGUAGCGGACGGGCGAGUAACGCGUGAGUAACCUGCCCUUUGCUGGGGGAUAACAUCGGGAAACCGGUGCUAAUACCGCAUAAGACCACAGUGCCACAUGGUACGGCGGUCAAAGCUCCGGCGGCAAAGGAUGGACUCGCGUCCAAUUAGCUAGUUGGUAGGGUAAUGGCCUACCAAGGCGACGAUUGGUAUCCGAACUGAGAGGUUGAUCGGACGCAUUGGGACUGAGACACGGCCCAGACUCCUACGGGAGGCAGCAGUGGGGAAUAUUGCGCAAUGGGGGCAACCCUGACGCAGCAACGCCGCGUGAAGGAUGAAGGCUUUCGGGUUGUAAACUUCUUUGAUCGGGGACGAAGAUGACGGUACCCGAGGAACAAGCCACGGCUAACUACGUG
rnacentral:rRNA from 1 species